AUUAUUGGGCGUAAAGAGCUCGUAGGCGGUCUGUCGCGUCUGCUGUGAAAACUGGAGGCUCAACCUCCAGCCUGCAGUGGGUACGGGCAGACUAGAGUGCGGUAGGGGAGAUUGGAAUUCCUGGUGUAGCGGUGGAAUGCGCAGAUAUCAGGAGGAACACCGAUGGCGAAGGCAGAUCUCUGGGCCGUAACUGACGCUGAGAAGCGAAAGCAUGGGGAGC
rnacentral:rRNA from 1 species